CAGGAGAGGCCAAUGGUAAAGGUGGACCUCAGCAUAUUGGCGAUACCAGUACCAAGGACAGUGGCAGCCGUAGAGUGGAACUAGCCUGAGCUUGUGAGGUUUCCUCAUGGCAAGAUGCCUUUUCCUUUGACGGGCCAAACCUAUGACCUAUUUCCCCUGGCCAGGAAGUGUCACAUUCUAAUUAAAACAGAUGCCGAAGAGCUCCACAAAGGCACAGCGCAGCUUUCCCUCUGGGUGGCUUCCGCAGCACUAGCUCUGAUAUUCCUCUCACACUUUGAGAAAUUUCCUGAGUGCCAAGUACACGUGGUACAGCAUCGGCUCACAAGGUAGCUUCGUGUGGCUGUGCCUCGUGCUCCCCACCUCCCGCU